rnacentral:lncRNA from 10 species
GUUGGUUAAAUAUACAUAUCUGUUUUCCCCUUUUCCAUGAAAUCCCACAAAAAAAAGGUUGUUUGUUUGUUUAGAAUUAAACCCACUAGAAUAAAGAAAUUAGAGAGAAAAAAAUUAUAGAAGCUGAAUGUAAAUUUAAAAAACACAGCCGAAUCUUAAGCUGACAGUGGAGAAAACUGAGAAUCAUAGAUUAGCAGCACCAGGGACCUCUAUUCAUGGAAGGGGAAGCAAAGGGGCUGGUUGAAAUUCAGUUUAAGAGGCUCUCAGAUCCCUAGUUCCCCACUUCACACAGCAAAAUUGCCUGGAUCCUAACCUGGCAAAAUAGUGGAGGUUUCUUCUGUAGAGACAGUAAAAUAAAGAGUCUCUGGAUUAAAGAACUCCAGAGUAGGAUACUAUUGUUUAAAAAGAAGGAGGGGAUAAAAAUCAGGUAACAAAAAUAGCUCUUAGAAAAAAAUUGUAAAUGCAAGAACAAAGGUAAAACUCAGUAGAAGGGUUAGAAAAUAAAAUUUAGAAAAUCUCCCAGAAUGUAGAGUAAAAAGACCAAGGAUGGAAAAUAAGAGAUAAAAGAAAAUAUGAAGACUGUUACAGGAAGUAUAAAAUCCAAGUAACAGAAAUUUCUGAAUGCAAGAACAGAGAAAAUGUAUUAUCCAUUACAUUAGUUAUCCAGUGCUGCAUAGCAAAUUGGCCCAAUUACUCAGCAGCUUAUAAUAACAAUUUUUUUUAUCUUACCCAAUUUCUGAGGGUCAGGAAUCUGGGAGCAGCCUAAUAGGAUAGUUCUGGCUCAGGGUCUCCCGUGAAGUUGCAGUCACGUUGUUGGCAAGGGCUGCAGUUUCAUCUGAAGGCUUGAAUGGAGCUACAGAAUCCACUUUCAAAGUGACUCACUCACAGGGCUUCAAGAAGCCUCAGUUACCAGCUGGAUAUUGGCAGGAGUCCUCAGUUUCUUGCCACACGGGCCUCCCAUAAGGCUGGUCAACAUGGUCGCUGGCAUUUCCCAAAGCAAGUGAUCCAAGACUGCACUAUCUUUCAUACCCCAAUCUCAGAAGUGACAUACUAUCAUUUCUGCUGUAGGCUAUUGGUCACAGAGAUCAACCCUGGUCCAGUACAAGGGUAAACUGCACAAGGGUGUGACUACCAGAGACAGGAUCACUGGAAGCCAUUUGGAGGCUGACUAUCACAUUAUAUAUAUAUUUCUCCCCCAGAAUAUAAGGGCAUACAUUUUCAGAAUUGAAAAACCCUCAUAAGCACUGAUUCUCCCCAGAUGAUAAAAAGAAAGAAAGACCUCCUAACAGCUUAACAUAGUGGGCCCACACCAAGGCCCAUCAUCAUGAAACUUCAAAACACUGAGAAUGCUAUAAGCUUCCAGAGAUGUUAAGAAGUCAUCUAGAAGAAUCAAUAGUCAGAAUAAUUCUGACUUCUCAAGGGCAACAUUGGAAGCUAAAAGCAAUAAAACAAUGUCUUCAAAAUCUUGAAGAAAAAUGUCCAGACUAGAAUUAAACCCACCAAAAUAAAGGGCAUUGCAGAAGAAACAACCAAAUUUUAGUGGAUGGAAAGUAGAUUAACACAGACAUGCAAACAUCUGCGUCUUAAGACUGACAGUGGAGAAUGCCAACAAUAAUGAAUGAACAGCACGAGGAAAUGAAAUGAAAAUGAAGGAACGGGUGGGGUGGUUAAAAUAUACUUUAAGUGCCAAGUACUUAGAAGAACAGAAUGAAAGUCUUUUCAACCCUGCUUGGGAAGUGGCUGGAAAUGUGCUUUAACAAAAUGGGCGAGUAAAGUAGAGAAACAGGAAGACAAACAGGAAGAAACAGGAAGACAAAAAAUGAAAGAUUCAAACCCAAAGAAGGGAUAAGGGAGCUCUAGCAUGGUGAUGCAGGAACUCCAGAGUGACAGCUGUGUGCCACGCCAGGAGGAACCAGUCCAGUGCAGAGCAAAUUGGGGUCCUCAAGAAGGAAGAUUUUUCAAGGUAACAAAAUUGCUGGAAUUCCUGGUGCAUCAGAAUGCCUUAGGGGGAGAAUUUGGGCACUUGGUGAAGAGUUUAAGGUCGAAUUAGUAAUAAGUACACAGAAAACUAAGCAAACAACAAAAAGAAAAAAAAAGACAGUUAUUAACUCCCGGGGGGAAAAGCUGUCAAGGAAAGAUAAAGCAAUCAUAGUGUACAACACGGCUCAGCUGCAACUAGCAUUUACAUAGUCAUAAUAACAUAAACGUUGAAUACUGACCUAACGAAAAUCCUGAAAUAACUACAUUGGGAGAGCGAAGGAUGACCCCACAGUGGGAAUUUAGUAGAUAACGCCUGGAACUGAAAUAUCUAGCUUUAAUAAUAAGCAGCCUAUUUAGAAAUAGAUACUAGAUACCAAAAUAAUCAGCUAAAAGAGAUAAAAUAAUCAGCCAAAAGAGAUAAAAUAAUCUCUGGGAGGGGGAAAUAAAGCAGAGGGCAGGGGGCUACUCUGUUUUGUGGCCAACUCUGUGGAACCUUUUGACUUUCUGGAUAGCCUUCACAUUACUAUGAUUUUAGAAAGAUAUUGAUGUCCUGCAACGAGAAGUAGGAGGCAGUAGCUAACCAUUCCUCCAUUCAGCAAGCACUCAAUGGGCACCUACAAUGUACUCGUGUUGGGAGAUUUGGAGGAAAAACAAAAAGCCCCAGUCCCUGUCCUCUCUGGCUCACAAUCCAGUGGCUAUCUCCACACACCCAGAGAGGCAGCAAUUCAAACUCUUCUCUAGUGAGAAGGUUAACAAGAUGAAAACAGAUGCCUGGAGAUCUGCUUGUCUUGAACUAGUCAAGCCACUUGACUAGUGGCUUCUGUUGGCCUUCCCUGGAUGGCGUACCCUUGGAAGUUCACCAUGGGCUUAUCCUUGAGGCACAAUGGGACCUGCCUGAGCAGGUGGGGCAGGAGUUGGGGUAGGCAAUCCCUGUGAUAACCAUGCCCACCCGGCACGGGCAUGGUGUGGGCUACAUUUUCUGUUUGUUUGGUUUUUGGGAUGGGGUCUGUGUCUCCCAAGCUGGAGUGCAGUGGUGCGAUCAUGGCUCACUGCAGCCUCAACCUCCCGGGCUCAAGCAAUCCUCCCACCCCAGGCCCUGAGUGGCUAGGACUACAGGCACACACCACCACGCCUGGAUAAUUUUCGUAGAUACAGCAUUUCAUCAUGUUGCCCAGCCUAGUCUCAAACUGCUGGGCUCAAGUGAUCCUCCCACCUCAGCCUCUCAAAGUGCUGGGGUUACAGGUGUGAGCCACCACACCUGGCCAGGUUAUAUUUUCUAAAGCACUCAAGUGACCUACAGAGUUUGUUUGAAGCACAAUAGUUAUUAUAUUGUUUUGCUUGCAUGACUUCAUUUAAUCUUGACAAUAAACCUUGCUAUUAUUAGUCCCACUUUCUAGAUGAGGAAACUGGAGCCCCGAGAGGUUAUGUGAUUUGCCUAAGUUCACACAGCUUGUAAGCAGCAGAGUUCAAUCCAGAUUCAAACCUGUCUCAAGCCCCUGCCUCUGAGUCUCACAACUGGAUUUCUUUUCUCCAUUUAGAUUGUUGAAUUGAGAGUUACAAGAACUGAGUUCUAGCUUGGCGUCUGUUUCCAGAAGCGAAAAAUGGAAGGGGUUGGCUAAGAUGACAACUAAGGGUCCUUUAUGCUUUGGCCAUCUACAUUAGGAAGACAGAAGCCAAAGGGGAAAGGAAAUGUGUGAACGUGGUGCAGAGGUGAACACUUCCCCUCCUCAAGCCUCAUUUUCAUCAUCUGUAAAAUGGAAAUCACGAAGACACACAUCACAGGGCAGUUUAGUAUAUUAAAUACAAUAAUGUAUAAAAAGUACUUAGCCCUCACCCAAACACAUCAUAAGUGCUCAAUAAAUUUGAGCCCUUAUUCCUUCCUAAUAUGCCCGCAGGGCUCCACCAAGCUUGAAUUCCCAUAAGCUUUCACUUCUGGGAAGGUCAAAGAACCAUGUUUGAGAGAAGAGGACUGAUCAAAGUAGGAGAAAGGGAAUCAGGUAAAAUUACUGUCUAACAGGAAUGUGUGCUGUUGCCCUUUAUUGGUUUUACAUAUGAGUUAGCUUAUUAAUACUUUCAGGAGCAUGUUAGUGUGAAAUUGGAAAGCAUCACUGCAGGUCAGCCAUGAGCCACUGCACUGGUGACAGAAAGGGGAAGAAGAGCAAGCAGGGCAGGCACAGUGGGGAGAAGAAAGGAGAGAGGCAGAAAGGAAAGGAAGGCGAGUCCUCGAUGGGAAAGGGCAAAAAGAUAACCAAACAGGGAGCAAACUGGUUUUAAAGUUCAAGGCUUGUGAUGUAUGUUAAACACACGCUACUAUUUGACUUUAAACAUGACUCAUAUCCACUUGUCUUUUUGCUCAAGCCAUUUCCUCUGUAUGGAAUUCCCAUUCUUGGUCAUAGACACUGCUCAAGGCCUGCCUAGCUUUCUCUGAAUCCCCCAAAAGAGCCUAGAACACUACCUAACAUGCAGUAAAAUUCAAUAAAUGGUUUUUGAAUUGAAUGCAAUGACAAAUGUGUUCCUCAAGCUUAUGAUUAUUUACUAUUUCAAGUAGAUGAAGAAACACUCCAAACAACUGGCUGCAGGUGACCAAAAGAUUAUCAUAGCAAAGUUCCCUGUCUUGUUUGGGAUAAGAGUGAAGGUCUCCAGGGACCCGUUCUGUGGUGGAAACACUUUCUUCCAAUAAUAAUGAAAACAAGAAUAACAAGGAAAAAUAAAUAUGUAUUGCCUUUAGUCCCGGCUACUUGGGAGGCUGAGGCAGGAGGAUCGCCUGAGGCCAGGAGUUUGAGGCUACAGUGAGCCAUGAUGGUGCCUGUGAAUAGCCACUGCACUCCAGCCUGGGCAACACAGUGAGACCUCAUCUCUAACAAUGUGUGUAUGUAUAUGUGUGUGUAUAUAUACAUGUGCAUAUGUGUUAUAUUACACACACACAUAUGUACGUGUGUGUGUGUAUAUCUAUAUACACAGAAAGGGAGAGAGAAAAGACUAUGUCCCAAACACUAUUUCUAAGUACUUUAUCAAUAAUAAAUUACUUAACCCUCAAAUCAAAUCUGUGAAAAAACAGCAGUUGUCACCCCCAUUUUACAGUGGAAACUGGGUAGGGUGACCAACCAUCCCAGCUUGCCCCAGUCUGACAGGGCUCCUGGGAUACAAGACUUUCAGUACUAAAACCAGAAAGUCCCAGGAGCUGUCCACUAUGCUUUC